GGAAACAGCCCUGCCACGAGGAA
rnacentral:piRNA from 1 species